rnacentral:tRNA from 1 species
UCCGAAUUAGCUCAAUGGUAGAGCAGCGCUUUUGUAAUGCGAAGGUUGUGUGUUCGACUCACAUAUUCGGAA